UGGCAGGUACAGAGGGAGUGCUACCGGGCGACCGGAUGCGGAUCUCGAAAGCCUGUCCCAGUUCGGACUGGAGUCUGCAACCCGACUCCACGAAGUUGGAUUCGCUAGUAAUCGCGCAUCAGCCAUGGCGCGGUGAAUACGUUCCCGGGCCUUGUACACACCGCCCGUCAAGCCAUGGGAGCCGGGGGCGCCUGAAGUCCGGGACCGCGAGGACCGGCCUAGGGCGAAACUGGUAACUGGGGCUAAGUCGUAACAAGGUAAC
rnacentral:rRNA from 1 species